GCAUCGGUAUUUGUGGUAUUGCACCCCCGCUUAUCCCCCUUCCAUAAACCACCACCCACACCACAUCCCUCCCCCAACCGCCCAACCCCCCCACCCCCACACCAAGUUUCAACAUUCGUCGUCUGUUUGUGGAUUUUCAGGGUUUUAUAAAUAUAAAUUGUUAUAUUACUCAUAUGAACGUUGAAUUUGUUUCUGUUAUGUGAGGGCUUAAUGCUUUAUUGAGCUUCUUCUACACUGGUGUGUUUCGAUGCUUUUUUUUUUU
rnacentral:misc_RNA from 1 species